UACUCGAGUGGCGAACGGGUGAGUAACACGUGGGUGAUCUGCCUUGCACUCUGGGAUAAGCUUGGGAAACUGGGUCUAAUACCGGAUAGGAACCGUCUUUAGUGUGGUGGUUGGAAAGUUUUUUCGGUGCAAGAUGAGCUCGCGGCCUAUCAGCUUGUUGGCGGGGUAAUGGCCUACCAAGGCGUCGACGGGUAGCCGGCCUGAGAGGGUGUACGGCCACAUUGGGACUGAGAUACGGCCCAG
rnacentral:rRNA from 1 species